rnacentral:rRNA from 1 species
CCUACGGGUGGCAGCAGUGAGGAAUAUUGGUCAAUGGGCGGGAGCCUGAACCAGCCAAGUCGCGUGAGGGAAGACGGUCCUAUGGAUUGUAAACCUCUUUAGGCGGGGAGCAAUGCCGGGCACGCGUGCCCGGAGGGAGAGUACCCGCAGAAUAAGCAUCGGCUAACUCCGUGCCAGCAGCCGCGGUAAUACGGAGGAUGCGAGCGUUAUCCGGAUUUAUUGGGUUUAAAGGGUGCGUAGGCGGAUUUUUAAGUCAGCGGUAAAAUGUCCGGGCUCAACCCGGGCCGGCCGUUGAAACUGGCUGUCUUGAGAGGUCGAGAGGUAUGCGGAAUGCGCAGUGUAGCGGUGAAAUGCUUAGAUAUUGCGCAGAACUCCGAUUGCGAAGGCAGCAUACCGGCGGCGAUCUGACGCUGAGGCACGAAAGCGUGGGUAUCGAACAGGAUUAGAUACCCGAGUAGUC